rnacentral:rRNA from 1 species
UGGGGAAUUUUGGGCAAUGGGGGAGACCCUGACCCAGCGACGCCGCGUGAGGGAAGACGGCCUUCGGGUUGUAAACCUCUUUUGUACGGGAAGAUAAUGACGGUACUGUACGAAUAAGUCCCGGCUAACUACGUGCCAGCAGCCGCGGUAAUACGUAGGGGGCGAGCGUUGUCCGGAAUUACUGGGCGUAAAGGGCGCGCAGGCUGCGUUACAAGUCAGCUGUUAAAAUCAUGGGCUUACCCCAUGAGUGCGGUUGAAACUGUAGUGCUCGAGUACUGUAGAGGCAAGCGGAAUUCCCAGUGUAGCGGUGAAAUGCGUAGAUAUUGGGAGGAACACCGGUGGCGUAGGCGGCUUGCUGGACAGUAACUGACGCUGAGGCGCGAAAGCCAGGGGAGCAAACGG